GACGAACGCUGGCGGCGUGCCUAAUACAUGCAAGUAGAACGCUGAAGCUUGGUGCUUGCACCGAGCGGAUGAGUUGCGAACGGGUGAGUAACGCGUAGGUAACCUGCCUGGUAGCGGGGGAUAACUAUUGGAAACGAUAGCUAAUACCGCAUAAGAGUAGAUGUUGCAUGACAUUUGCUUAAAAGGUGCAAUUGCAUCACUACCAGAUGGACCUGCGUUGUAUUAGCUAGUUGGUGAGGUAACGGCUCACCAAGGCAACGAUACAUAGCCGACCUGAGAGGGUGAUCGGCCACACUGGGACUGAGACACGGCCCAGACUCCUACGGGAGGCAGCAGUAGGGAAUCUUCGGCAAUGGACGGAAGUCUGACCGAGCAACGCCGCGUGAGUGAAGAAGGUUUUCGGAUCGUAAAGCUCUGUUGUAAGAGAAGAGCGAGUGUGAGAGUGGAAAGUUCACACUGUGACGGUAUCUUACCAGAAAGGGACGGCUAACUACGU
rnacentral:rRNA from 1 species